rnacentral:misc_RNA from 1 species
CGCAUAUUGCGCCCUCUGGCAUUCUGGGGGGCACGCCUGUUCGAGCGUCAUUGAAUCAAUUAAGCCCAGCUUAGUAUUGGGCGGCCUUUUAACGGAAAGCCCCCAAAAUUUAGUGGCGUGAAUGCUGAGAGAAGAAUGUACCGGAAUUUUUAAUUAAAUUAUCAUUCUAGUCUCUUGGGUGUUUACCGCCAAUAACCAACUGCCCGGUUGCCCAUACCGGGAUAAUAGCAAGAUUGACCUCGGAUCAGGUGGGAAUACCCGCUGAACUUAA